CUUUUUUUUAAUAAACAUAGCAGUUUCAGAGAAAUCCAGCCUCUAAAGCCUCUAGUGGCUGUCUCAUUGACAUCCGCUAGAGGCAUUUGCGUGCUUCUCACUGUGAAAAUCACAGUGAGAAGACGUCAGCGUCCAUAUAAAUGCUUUCCUAUGAGACUGGCUGAAUGCGCACGCAGCUCCUGCCGCGCAUGCGCAUUUAGCCGAAGAGGAGGAUCGGAGGCGGAGAGGAGGAGGAGAGCUCCCUGCCCGGCGCCGGAAAAAAGGUAAGAUUCAACCCUUUCCUCUCCCCAGAGCCCUCAGGGCACUAUAGUGCCAGGGAAAUGAGUAUGUUUUCCUUGCACUAUUGUGGUCCUUUUAUAGAAAGUAGAAUUUUUUUUUGCCAUUUUCUUUUGUUUUAUAUCAUUUCUGAUAAGGAGAUUUACAGGAUUAUUCUAGUUGAUAAUUCAAAGUGAAUUCAAAAUUUAAGUUCUCAGUAAAUUGAAUUCGGAACAUUCUCUUUCAGCUAUGUUUUCAAAUUGGAUACUCUGGCCUAUUUAAAAUUCACUUUGAAUUCUCACUUUGGUAAGUGACACAGCUAGUCUAUAUUUAUUUGUAAAGCUGAACAAUUUAUUAGAAACUUUGUUUUAAUAAUUUAAUAUUUCAACACUUUUCUAUUACGACAUUUGCUGCAUUUUGAUGUUAGUAAAACGAAUAUGAUAUAAUGUACAUAGUUCACAGAUAUUUUUAGAAAAACAAAAAUUCUAGAAUUUUUUAUUUUUUCUGAAACAAUAAUUCAUCUGUUUUCUUUGGUGACCUGUCAAACAUGGGUAAUCAAAUUAGGUCAGCUGAAAACAGGACCUCUCCCUUUGCUAAAGAAAAAUGUAUAGGCUGCUGCUACUUAGAUUUGCUAUAAAUACCUGAUGAGUGUUAUCCACUACAAAAAAAACCAAAAAACAUAGAACAAGGGCAUUAAAAAUGACUUCUAUAGUCCGCAACGCAUCGUACUUAUGUGCCUGACGGCAAUGUUAGAGCAAAAAAACAACUACACAUUUCCAUUGCUGUUUUUUUAUGAUUCUUGCAACAUUUGAUCUCUAGACAUCUUUGAAAUUGUUCCAGAACUCUUAUGGCAGUUUUCUGAUUCUGGCAUAUUUAUAAUGGGAUAGCAUUACUGAAAGUCUGGUACUUUGCAGUAUGGUACUUUGCAGUAACUCUUCUUGUGCCAAAGAUAUGAGAAAUGCAUAGUACAGCACUCAACAAUGUAAACCUGGCUUUGUGUGUGUAUAUGUAUCUAUCGUAGACAGAAUCCAUUGAUCUGACCAGUCACUGCGGAAUAUUCAAACCAAAUCUGAGGGUGUGAUCAAUAUGGGUUUCAUUUUUAUCUUUUAACUGACAGCAGAUGUUUAUGGGGUUUCAUAAAACAUAUAUACUGUCAUUUUAUUUAUUCUGCCUUUCAUAUGUUCAGAGUGUGGGUCCCACAAAUGAAGGGCUGGCUCCAACUUGGAUUUUUCGUUUCCCAAGGCAAUGUAAUACAGAACUGUAAUAAUAAUUAUAUAGUUCAUAGGAUUGUAGAUUUGGCCCAAACAUGUUGCUAAAUCACAAUAAAUGUCAAGAUUCAUGACCACAUUACUUGUAGGAUCUUUGAUGGGAAGAGCAGAGCUUCUGACAAAAGUAAAACAUUUUAUUUUCUAUUUAUUUUAUGACAGUAGACAUAUUAAAAAAAAAAAAAAAAGUUUACUAUUUGACCCAUUACUGUUCUCCCUGCUUUAUUAACACAAUUACAUUAUUGCAGAACAGCAUGAAUUGUUUUAAUAUAUCUGUAGAUUGAUAACAAAUCAUGGAAUGCUUGUCUUACUAGUUAAACAGUAUCUUAAGGCUAAUAAGAUAUUAAACAAAAGAAAAGUUAAAAAAACUUUUUCUAAGUAUGUGCUUGUCUGGUUAAAUAUUAUAUACAUAUUUAAUUUCCAACACUAAAUUAUUUCGGAAUCCAAAAGAGUAAUUUCUGCGAUACUGGAAUGAUGCUCAGCCAAGAAUGAAAGAAUGAAGAAUGACCAUCACAGUUGUAAAUUGGGAAAAUAAAUCAAAAAUCAUUGAUCACCUAAAUAUAUUUCCAUAAGCAAAAUGACUAUUGGCCUUGCAUUACUUUGGUCAAUGCAUGCACCUUAUACAUAAACUUAACAAGUAAAGAAAUACAUUUUCUAUUUAGACAAAUGUACUAGAGCCUUAUUUGUUUUUAGAAUUUAUGUGACUCUACAUCACUUUGUAAAACACCUUGAACUCAAAGCAAAGUAAACUACAAUAAAUAUAUACCCUUAAUGUUCAGCUUAGUUCUGAUGUUUCUCUUUUGACCCAAGAUAGACAACAUUACUCCUUUUUCAACCAUUGUACUUGUUGUGCAUCCCUAUAAAUGCCUGGUUUAAUAGGGUCAGUUUAUCAUAUUUCCCAAAAGUCCCGGUUCUAUCAGGAUUCUCCCAGGUUGGCUCCAUGGUGUUGCACAUGCAGUGACAUAAAAUAACUGCCCACCCUACAAGUGCAAUAAGGGGGCAUCAUAGGGUGUGAUUGUGCUGUAAUAAAUGUCAGGGCUCUAGGAUAGAGGGCUUUAGUAGCCCUCAUCUGCCUUGAGUGGGGACAGCUAGUCACCAGGUACUAUGAGUAUUAACUUAAU